rnacentral:rRNA from 1 species
ACUGAGCGGCGGACGGGUGAGUAACGCGUGGGUAACCUGCCUUAUACAGGGGGAUAACAGUUAGAAAUGACUGCUAAUACCGCAUAAGCGCACAGUACCGCAUGGUAGUGUGUGAAAAACUCCGGUGGUAUAAGAUGGACCCGCGUCUGAUUAGCCAGUUGGCGGGGUAACGGCCCACCAAAGCGACGAUCAGUAGCCGACCUGAGAGGGUGACCGGCCACAUUGGGACUGAGACACGGCCCAAACUCCUACGGGAGGCAGCAG